AGAGUUUGAUCAUGGCUCAGGACGAACGCUGGCGGCGUGCCUAAUACAUGCAAGUCGAGCGGAUCGUAUCCUUCGGGAUACGAUGAGCGGCGAACGGGUGAGUAACACGUAGGCAACCUGCCUGUAAGACCGGGAUAACCCACGGAAACGUGAGCUAAUACCGGAUAAUCGGUUUCUCCGCAUGGAGAGACCGUGAAAGAUGCUCCGGCAUCGUUUACAGAUGGGCCUGCGGCGCAUUAGCUAGUUGGCGGGGUAACGGCCCACCAAGGCGACGAUGCGUAGCCGACCUGAGGGGGUGAUCGGCCACACUGGGACUGAGACACGGCCAAGACUCCUACGGGAGGCAGCAGUAGGGAAUCUUCGGCAAUGGACGAAAGUCUGACCGAGCAACGCCGCGUGAGUGAGGAAGGCCUUCGGGUCGUAAAGCUCUGUUGCCAGGGAAGAAUGGCUGGGAGAGGGAAUGCUCCCGGUUUGACGGUACCUGAGAAGAAAGCCCCGGCUAACUACGUGCCAGCAGCCGCGGUAAUACGUAGGGGGCAAGCGUUGUCCGGAAUUAUUGGGCGUAAAGCGCGCGCAGGCGGUACUUUAAGUCUUGUGUUUAAUCCCGGGGCUCAACCUCGGUGCGCAUGGGAAACUGGAGUACUGGAGUGCAGGAGAGGAAAGUGGAAUUCCACGUGUAGCGGUGAAAUGCGUAGAGAUGUGGAGGAACACCAGUGGCGAAGGCGACUUUCUGGCCUGUAACUGACGCUGAGGCGCGAAAGC
rnacentral:rRNA from 1 species